UCAGCCCUAAACACAAAUAAUUUUAAAAACAAAAUUAUUCGCCAGAGUACUACCGGCAACAGCCUAAAACUCAAAGGACUUGGCGGUGCUUUAUACCCUUCUAGAGGAGCCUGUUCUAUAAUCGAUAAACCCCGAUAAACCUCACCAAUUCUUGCUAAUACAGUCUAUAUACCGCCAUCUUCAGCAAACCCUAAAAAGGAACAAAAGUAAGCGCAAUCAUAACAUAUAAAAACGUUAGGUCAAGGUGUAACCUAUGAAAUGGGAAGAAAUGGGCUACAUUUUCUACUUCAAGAAAACCUACAUACGAAAGUUAUUAUGAAACUAAUAACCAAAGGAGGAUUUAGUAGUAAACUAAGAAUAGA
rnacentral:rRNA from 1 species